UACAGAGGUCUCAAGCGUUGUUCGGAUUCAUUGGGCGUAAAGGGUGCGUAGGCGGCGCGGUAAGUCGGGUGUGAAAUCUCGGAGCUUAACUCCGAAACUGCAUUCGAUACUGCCGUGCUUGAGGACUGGAGAGGAGACUGGAAUUUACGGUGUAGCAGUGAAAUGCGUAGAUAUCGUAAGGAAGACCAGUGGCGAAGGCGAAUCUCUGGACAGUUACUGACACU
rnacentral:rRNA from 1 species